UACGUAGGGUCCGAGCGUUGUCCGGAAUUACUGGCGUAAAGAGCUCAUAGGUGGUUUGUCGCGUUGUCCGUGAAAACUCACAGCUCAACUGUGGGCUUGAGGCGAUGAGAGGGUGCAGAAUUCCCGGUGUAGUGGUGGAAUGCGUAGAGAUCGGGAGGAAUACCAGUGGCGAAAGCGGCACCCUGGCGUCAGCCUGACGCACAUGUGCGAAAGCGUGGGAGCGAACGGG
rnacentral:rRNA from 1 species